GACGAACGCUGGCGGCGUGCUUAACACAUGCAAGUCGAGCGGUAAGGCCCUUUCGGGGGUACACGAGCGGCGAACGGGUGAGUAACACGUGAGCAACCUGCCCUUCACUUCGGGAUAAGCCUCGGAAACGGGGUCUAAUACCGGAUAUCACUCCUUACUUCAUGGUUUGGGGUUGAAAGUUUUGGCGGUGGGGGAUGGGCUCGCGGCCUAUCAGCUUGUUGGUGGGGUAAUGGCCUACCAAGGCGUCGACGGGUAGCCGGCCUGAGAGGGCGACCGGCCACACUGGGACUGAGACACGGCCCAGACUCCUACGGGAGGCAGCAGUGGGGAAUAUUGCGCAAUGGACGGAAGUCUGACGCAGCAACGCCGCGUGAGGGAUGACGGCCUCGGUUGUAA
rnacentral:rRNA from 1 species